CCUACGGGCGGCAGCAGUGGGGAAUAUUGGACAAUGGGGGAAACCCUGAUCCAGCGACGCCGCGUGAGUGAAGAAGUAUUUCGGUACGUAAAGCUCUAUCAGCAGGAAAGAAAAUGGCGGUACGUGACUAAGAAGCCACGGCUAACUCCGUUCCAGCAGCCGCGGUAAUACGUAGGGGGCAAGCGUUAUCCGGAUUUACUGGGUGUAAAGGGAGCGUAGACGGCAGGGCAAGUCUGGAGUGAACUGCCGGGGCCCAACCCCGGAACUGCUCUGGAAACUGGGGAGCUGGAGUGCAGGAGAGGUAAGCGGAAUUCCUGGUGUAGCGGUGAAAUGCGUAGAUAUCAGGAGGAACCCCGGCGGCGAAGGCGGCUUACUGGACUGUAACUGACGUUGAUGCUCGAAGGCGUGGGUAGCAAACAGGAUUAGAUACCCUAGUAGUC
rnacentral:rRNA from 1 species